UAGAAGAGAGAGCCCAGCGUCUCUUCAGCACUAAAGGCAAAUCUCUGGAGUCUCUGGACCCCUCACUGUUUGCCAAAAACCCAAAAGCCAAAGGACCAAAGAAAGACUCGGAGCGCAACAAGGAAUCUGCUUUUCUUGAAGCUCAGAUUUAUGAAUAUGUGGAGAUUUUGGGGGAGCAAAGGCAGCUGACCCAUGAGAACGUCCAGAGGAAGCAGGCGCGCACAGGAGAGGAGCGUGACGAGGAGGAUGAAGAGCAGCCCAGCGAGAGUGAGAGUGAAGACGAAGAUAAUGAGAUCAUAUACAACCCCAAAAACCUGCCACUCGGCUGGGACGGAAAGGUACAU